UUAAAUUUUAGUCUGAUUUCAGUAUAACUUGGCACACAAGUAGACUAUACUAAGAUACAUAAUUCUGUGCAUCAGUUUUUGAUAAGUACAAACCAGUAGAGCUACAGUCUCGACAGAGACUUCUGGUUAUUUUUUCUUCCAUCCCGGUUGUUGCUAAUGCUAUUACAUAAUUAGUUUAAAUUAGAAUGCAAUAGUACCUGGACAUAAUUUAUCAUUUCAGAGAGAAGAAAACUGUGUGACUUUAAAAGAAAACCAGUGAGAUAAAAUCAUAGAAAAUGUAUGAUGAUUCAGGAUGUGGUCAUUUGUGACAUUAAAACAGGAAUUGUCAUCACCAAUAGAUGAAUUUCACAUUCCUAAGAGUUUUCUCCAAUUGUCGGCGUAUCGCUAAUUUUUCCCACUUUGUCCUUUGUCCUGUUCUGUGGAUGCCCUAAGACAGUGUCUACCCAUCACUCCAUCUGAAAUCACUUGUUCUGUGCAUAUUUCUCUCUCAAACUUAAACUACAGAGAGCCUGUGGAUAGAGGAUGAAGAGUGACCUUGGACUAAUUUUCUAGGUCAAAGGUUAGUAUCA